AAGCGUAUUUGAAUAUUUUCGAGUAGGUAAUUUUGUUCAAACAAUUCAUUAAAAUUGCUUAUACACAACCCCUAAAUUACUGGGACGUGUAAAAUGUAAAAUCCAUCUAAUAGUCGUAAUAAAAUCGAUAACAAUAGCCUUCCUCAUCCAUGUCCUCAUGAUAAAACACAUAAUUUUCCCCGAGUAUCGGCCGAUUUGAUAAUUUUGUUUUAUGUUUGUUAAUUUUGCUCAUCAUUAAAAUGAAUUAUUACGUUAGAAUGAGAUGACAUUGA